rnacentral:lncRNA from 1 species
GUUGACGUUGUGAGGAACUUAAGGCUUCCUUUUGCUUGGCGAGCCAUCCACAGCCUUUUUAAAUGUACACAGUCCAUGUAAGUGCCACAUAAGUCUUGCUGUUGGAAAAGGAUCUGCUUUUGGAAGUCAGACAGGCUGUGCAUCUCGUCUCCUUCCCCUGAAAAAUCUGGCCUCUGAAGGUCAUCAUACAAGGUCAAUAACCAAAGAAAAUGAGGAGCAGAACUUACAGUGGCACGUCCAUCUUUGACUCAGAUACCAACACAAUGUAAUUUCAUGUCUACUUGAUGGAACUACUUUUCUAUGGGGAAAAAUAAAAAGGCAAGUACAGAGAUUGCACAUCAAAUAGACCAAGUAUAACACGAGGCAAAUAUUUGUGGAACCCCACAGAAAAUGUCCAAUUAAGUAGCUCUCACAGUUCUUUGAGAUUGUAUUC